ACGAAAGGUGCAAGCGUUGUUCGGAAUUAUUGGGCGUAAAGAGCACGUAGGCGGAUAUGUGUGUCGAUUGUGAAAGCCCAGGGCUUAACCCUGGAAUUGCAGUCGAAACUGCAUAUCUUGAAUACUUGAUAGGGUGGGAGAAUUUCUGGUGGAGCAGUGAAAUGCGUAGAGAUCAGGAGGAAUACCGGAGGCGAAGGCGCCUGCCUGGCAAGAUAUUGACGCUGAGGUGCGAAAGCGUGGGGAGCAAACAGG
rnacentral:rRNA from 1 species